rnacentral:rRNA from 1 species
AGUGAACGCUGGCGGUAGGCCUAACACAUGCAAGUCGAACGGCAGCACAGUUAGAGCUUGCUUUUACGGGUGGCGAGUGGCGGACGGGUGAGGAAUACAUCGGAAUCUACUUUUUCGUGGGGGAUAACGUAGUGAAACUUACGCUAAUACCGCAUACGACUUACGGGUGAAAGCAGGGGAUCUUCGGACCUUUCGCGAUUGUAUGAGCCGAUGUCGGAUUAGCUAGUUGUCGGGGUAAAGGCCCACCAAGGCGACGAUACGUAGCUGGUCUGAGAGGAUGAUAAGCCACACUGGAACUGAGACAAGGUACAGACGACUACGGGAGGCGGCAGUGGGGAAUAUUGGACAAGGGGAGGAAGAAUGAUCAAGACAUGCCGCGUGGGUGAAGAAGGCCUGCGGGUUGUAAAGCACUUUUGUUGGGAAAGAAAAGCAGCAGGUUAAUACCCCGCUGUUCUGAAGGUACCCAAAGAAUAAGCACCGGCUAACUUCGUG